UACGGGGGGAGCAAGCGUUGUUCGGAUUUACUGGGCGUAAAGGGCGCGUAGGCGGUCAGCACAAGUCAGUUGUGAAAUCUCCGGGCUUAACUCGGAAAGGUCAACUGAUACUGUGCGACUAGAGUGCGGAAGGGGCAACUGGAAUUCUUGGUGUAGCGGUGAAAUGCGUAGAUAUCAAGAGGAACACCGGUGGCGAAGGCGGGUCUCUGGGCCGUAACUGACGCUGAGGAGCGAAAGCAUGGGGAGCGAACAGG
rnacentral:rRNA from 1 species